rnacentral:rRNA from 1 species
UACGUAGGGGGCGAGCGUUGUCCGAAUUUACUGGGCGUAAAGCGCGCGUAGGCGGUCUUUUAAGUCUGGGGUGAAAGGUUCAGCGCUCAACGCGAACAGUGCCCUGGAUACUGGGGGACUUGAGUGUGGCAGGGGGUGGCGGAAUUCCUGGUGUAGCGGUGAAAUGCGUAGAUAUCAGGAGGAACACCGGUGGCGAAGGCGGCCACCUGGGCUAACACUGACGCUGAGGCGCGAAAGCGUGGGGAGCGAACGGG